GUGCUUUGUUCAUUUUUUAUUUGCCAGGAAAUGACUGGCAUCUAUCUGUGUCAGAGGCAACAAUUAUGAGGCUCAUGAGAUGGGGAACUUGUGGCCCUCCAGAUGUUGCAGGACUCCAGCUCCCAUCAACCCUGACCUUUGACCCUGCUGUCUGGGGUUCUUGGGAGGUGGAAUCCAACAAUAUCUGGAAGUUUCCCCACCCCUGAUAUAGAAUCACUAAGAUCCGAUUAGAAUUAAGAAUUAAUAUAAGCAUUGUUCCAGACUUCUGAGCAACUGUUUCCUAGGAAAAGUUCCUGAACCGAUCCUCCUUGCCUCAUCUGCUCCGGAACCAAGAUUCCCAGCUACCCCAGGCCUCAGCAGUCUGUUGGUGAGCUUGGCCAAGACAUGACAAAACUAAGGCAAAGCAGAAAACAUGACAGACUUAGUCAAGCACGGCUAAGCAAAGGAUAAGCAGCACUCAUACUGGAACAAGGCAAGAACAUGUCAGGAGGGCAACAGGUUUUUAUUUUGCUGUUUUGAGAUUUCCGUCUCAUACCAGCUACUCCACAGGAGAGUCUCAAUGCGUUAAUACCACUGAGAUGGUUGAUAUUGUGGGAGGCAAUCUUUCAGUACUUGGGCCCCAGGCCAUUUAGGAAUUUGGGCCCAGUAACUCACUGGCAGCUAGUGUAGUGUUUUCAAGACUACUGUUCCCAUAAAGCUGUUCCACUCACCAAGUUGGUAGCUGCGUUCUACACUAGCUGCAAUUUCCAGACCAUCUUCAAGGACUGCCCCACGUACAGCACAUUGCAGUUGUCUAGAUGGGAGAGCACUAGAGCAAUGGCUAAUGAGACCAGCUGCCCCAGUGCAGGAAUGGUUGCCGAUGGUGAACCAGCCUAAGCUUGGACAUAAACAGAAUCCACUUGGCAUGCCAGUGGCAGAAUGGAAUCGAGGGGCUCUGCCAGACUACGAACUUGUUUCUCAACAGGGAGUGCAAUGCCUCACAGAGGUCAUCCACCUAAUGAGAACCACCUGGGGAGAAGCACCUCUGCCUUAUCAGGAUUCAGCCUCUGUUUAUUGGCUCCCAUCUCAUGUAUGUUCAGAAACCCAAACCUUUGUCAGCUAAAAUCCAGCUUAAAUUCCCCUUCUAUCUAUCAGAACAUUCCUUUACUAUUUGGUCAGCCAAAUAGCAGAAAAGCAAUAAGAUAAAUAUGGUUAAGAAGCCAAAGAGGCUUGAGGCUAGUCUGAUGCUCUUUGAAUCUAACUUCUCAUCCACCAUGUGAUCCAAGGAUAUGCUAUCUUAAGAAUUUUGUGCUGUACAGUGUUAGAGAAUUAGAGCUGUUCUCAAACUUUCCAUAAGAACAGACACUGCAACUUACUAAUGGAUCGCAGUGGUUUAUUUUACUAUAAAACACCACUUAUCACUAAUGCAAAGAAUUACAGGGGUCCUUCUCAGGCUGCCUCUGGAAGGUGGAUGGCUUCUCCCAUAAUUAUUAAUUCUUCAUUCCCCAAUACACCUUUUACCAUAUUUUGGACAAUCAAAUUUAUGGUUGUUUUUAAGACAACAAGGAUUUAUUCUUGCUCAGAACAAUAGCCCCAGAGAAUCAUUUCCCAAUUUGUCAAAACUGGCAAAGAAACAUUUUAUCAGGGUUUUUUCUUUGGUUUCAAAAAAUAAUCUUUGUAUAUAUCACAUCAGUCAUGUUUCAUUAAUGAUUAUCUACUAUGAGUCAAUAUGGUUAAGAAAUUUCCUCUCCAUGUAUGUGCCAAAUGCUGGUGGCAAGUCUGAAAAAACAAGACCCUCUUUUCCAGUGGCUCUAGCUAGGUGCAAGCAAUUUAGCUGCAGCUCCUGAUCCAAAAGACCAAAGACCAGGACACAAUAAAAUCCAAAUACUCUCCAAACAAAAUUAUAGGCACGUGAGGUAAAAAAACAUCUUUAGACCCGGCCAAUUUGGCCAAAUAUCGCCCAAUCUCAAAUCUGCCAUUCUUGGGCAAGGUGAUUGAGCGGGUGGUUGCUGAACAACUCCAAGCACGCCUGGAGGAAACGGACCUUUUGGAUCCCUUCCAAUCGGGAUUCAGGCCUCACCAUGGGACUGAAACUGCCUUGGUCACGCUGGUUGAUGAUCUCUGGCGGGCUAGGGACAAAGGUGAGAGCUGUUUCCUAGUUCUGCUGGAUCUCUCAGCGGCCUUUGACACCAUCCACCAUAACAUCCUUCUGGACCGUCUAGAGGGGCUGGGAGCUGGGGGCACUGUCAUACAGUGGUUCCGCUCCUUCCUCCUGGGCUGUGUCCAGAAAGUGGUGGUGGGGGAUGAGUGUUCAGAUCCCUGGGCUCUCACUUGUGGGGUGCCUCAGGGUUCUGUCCUCUCCCCCAUGCUUUUUAAUAUCUAUAUGAAGCCGCUGGGAGAGAUCAUCAGGGGGUUUGGACUGGGUGUUCAUCAGUAUGCAGAUGACACCCAGCUCUACCUCUCCUUUAAAUCAGAACCAGUGAAGGCGGUGAAGGUCCUGUGUGAGUGCCUGGAGGCGGUUGGAGGAUGGAUGGCGGCUAACAGAUUGAAGUUGAAUCCUGACAAGACAGAAGUACUGUUUUUGGGGGACAGGGAGCGGGUUAGUGUGGGGGAUUCCCUGGUCUUGAAUGGGGUAACUGUGCCCCUGAAGGACCAGGUGCGCAGCCUGGGAGUCAUUUUGGACUCACAGCUGUCCAUGGAGGCGCAGGUUAACUCUGUGUCCAGGGCAGCUGUCUACCAGCUCCACCUGGUACGCAGGCUAAGACCCUACCUGCCCGCGAACUGUCUCACCAGAGUGGUGCAUGCUCUAGUUAUCUCACGCUUGGACUACUGCAACGCGCUCUACGUGGGGCUACCUUUGAAGGUGACCCGGAAACUGCAAUUAAUCCAGAAUGCGGCAGCUAGACUGGUGACCGGGAGUGGCCGCCGGGACCACAUAACACCGGUUCUGAGAGAUCUGCAUUGGCUCCCAGUACGUUUCCGAGCACGAUUCAAAGUGUUGGUGCUGACCUUUAAAGCCCUAAACGGCCUCGGUCCUGUAUACCUGAAGGAGCGUCUCCACCCCCAUUGUUCAGCCCGGACACUGAGAUCCAGCGCCGAGGGCCUUCUGGCGGUUCCCUCAUUGCGAGAAGUGAGGCUACAGGGAACCAGACAGAGGGCCUUCUCGGUAGUGGCGCCCGCCCUGUGGAACGCCCUCCCAUCAGAUGUCAAAGAGAUAAAUAAUUACCCGACAUUCAGAAGACAACUUAAGGCAGCCCUGUUCAGGGAAGUUUUUAAUAUGUAACGCUGUACUGUUUUUAACACUGAUUGGGAGCCGCCCAGAGUGGCUGGGGAAACUCAGCCAGAUGGGCGGGGUAUAAAUAAUAAAUUAAUAUUAUUAUAUUAUUAUAUAUUUUACUAAGACGCUUUGUUAAAAUGAAGAGGGUUUUCUGAGGUGUUGCCACAGCAUGCUGCUGCUGACACAGGAAACUUCUUUAAAAGCAGGCAUGUCCAACAGGUAGAUGAUCUACCAGUAGAUCACUGGAUGUCUGUGGUAGAUCACCAGUAGAUCAGUGGCUCCCUCCAAAGAAGCUAAAAAACUUUGGCUCCCCUAAAAAAAGCUCAACAUCUUUGCCCUGCACCCCUAAAAAGGGAGUAGAUCACUGCCAGUUUUUAACUCUGUGAGUAGAUCGUAGUCUAUUGGAAGUUGGCCACCCCUGUUUAAAAGCAGAGUAAAGUCUUUACAAAACUUUCAUGCUGAGUCUGUACUGCUGUUACUCUCUGACACUGUCUCUUUGAGGUACAGAUCUUCUUGCAGACUCUCUAUCUGCAGUUGCAACCCUGAUUUCUUUUAUGCAGGCUCCCAGCACAGGUCCAGACCCCCCAGCUUAAUUCUCACCCUUCUUGCAUUCCACUUCCCCAUGCUUACUCUUUCACACAAACCUGGCUUGAUGGUGUUCAGCAUCUCAUGCCCCCGCCUUUUCCACUGCCCUUUGUCUCCCACCAUCCUCCCAGAACGAUUUUUGCAGGAGCGGUCCAUAUACUCUUCUGCUGCCAUGGCAAGUCCUCUUAGGAAACUCUAGAUAGCACCUCGAGCUCCAAUCUGAAAAGGGGAUUGUUCAUCUGACCAGAACACAGAUAAUAUAUUUUCAGGGUGGCUCCAAUACUCAUUCUUAAUAAUUUAUUUAUUGGAUGCCCUGCCCUUCCUCUGCAAGUAGACCAGGGCAGCAUAUAGAUAUAAAAUUUAAAGACCAAAAACAUUCUAAAACAGAUUAAAAUGUUAUAAAAACAAUUAUAAAUAAAAACAUCUAAACACAGUUAUAGUAAAAUACAAUCUAAAAGCAAUUACAAGUAAACAUACUUUCAUCCAAUGAUCCGUAUUCUUCAGCCACCAAGUAUAUGAGUAAGCAGGAAUGUUUUUAAGUUCCUGCUGAUGGAGACAGGCAAGCCACACUAGGGAGGGCAUUCCACAAUCAGCAAACCACCACUGAAAAGAUCCUGUCAUCGGAAAGCAACAUGGGAAUUUGUAUCUCUCCUUCUUCUAGCCAGGCUUCAGGCUUUAAGGAAGGGACUAGCAUGAUAAGGAAGUGUAAUCAUUUUCAACGUUUUCUUUAAUAACAUAUUUUGUGGUCCAGUCUACUUUCCAAUUUACACACAUCUCUCUUGAAUUUGUUAAAAACCCAGCUAUUUCCUACACCAAGGCCAGAGAUGGAAGGCUUCCACAUCAUUCCAACCUGCUAUAACGUACAUCUACUUUAAGAAAAUAAAACAUCACUUGUCCCAUUAAGAAUAUAACUUCUCUGGGGGAGGGUAUUUCCCCCCAGAGUCACCUCCUGGUCCUCAAUUUAGUGUGGCAGGCAGCUUAGCUAGUAGCUUGGCAACAGGGUGACCUUGUGCUCUGUUGGGUUUCAAACGUUUUAUUAGCCACACUGGACUCUCUCCAUCUUUCUCUGCCCUGCUUCUUAUUGCUGAGCCCCUCAUUAGUGCAAUUAAUAAGCCGCUUCUGUCAGGGCAAUCAAAUGCAGGGCUCUACAGCAGCCAAAGGCUUUGGCAGAUCAAGUAGGGGGGAUUCCGGGUCGCACAGUGGAAUUAUAGGGAAGGCUUUCAUCUCUCCCCACAGGCCCAAACAGGACUGGAAUUGUAGGGCUGGGAUUCUCUCAGGUCACGUUUAUUUAAUGCCACUUUUUUGGUAGAAUAAAUCAGUCCCCCCCCCCCUCCGUCAUUUUGGAUAAAGUCACAGGUUCGUUGGAGAACUUGGCAGAACACCCUGAUGUUAUUAGUGAUGGGUUGCACAAAGCCCUAUGCAAGAUAUAGUCUUGGACUCAGCUUCCCUUUGAGAUCUCUCUCUCUCACACACACACACACACACAUGCUCACAUACACACUGAAUGUGUGCGCAACAGGCCUGCUUUGUUGUGGUUCAUACCAGGGCAGGGACUGUAAGGUGUCAUCAACUCACAGUGCCACACAAGCACAUGGGGGUGGGCGGAGCACUAAGGAAUGAUGCACUCAGAUGCUGACCUCAGAUGCCUCUAGGCCAAUAACCCAAAUGUGUCCAACUAACUAACCUACCCCUGGGGAACUAUGGGCAUGCCCAACAUCCUACCAGAUCCUGGGAGCGUUGUGGCCUGAACUCAUUGACGUUAUUUGUUAUCUCUUAAUUCCAGUGAUUCCCCAGAGGAAUCCAAAAAUAAUACAAACUGAACACACACACAGAGAGAGAGAGAGAGGGAGCGCUAAUAAAACGUUUGGGCUGUUCCGGGUUUGUUCUUUUCCAGAGGCCUUGCAAACACCAUUCAGAUGUUGUCUCCGUGUGUUAAUCGGGUAGCCAACAAAUGUUGAACUAUGACUGCCACCAUCCCUGACCAUUGGCCAUACUGGCAGGGGCUGAUGGAAUUGUAGUCCAACAUAAUUUGGAUGACACCAUGUUGACUACUCUUGCAUUAACUAAAUGGAAUAGGAUGGAGCAGAGCUGAGCCCAGUUGGCCCUGCCUCUGUGCAUUAGGUAAGGAGGUGGGGUCAGCAGGAUGCAGUGACAUCAGGGGUGGGGAUAGCAGACAUGCCGCCCUCCCUAGCCUAGCUUAGUUUAGCAUAGAGCAGAAAUUACUCAAGUAGCUACAGUCAAACCCGUACAGUGGUACCUCUGGUUAUGUACUUAAUUCGUUCCGGAGGUCUGUUCUUAACCUGAAACUGUUCUUAAUCUGAGGUACCACUUUAGCUACUGAGGGCUGCCGCCACGCGAUUUCUGUUCUCAUCCUGAAACAAAGUUCUUAACCCGAGGUACUAGUUCUGGGUAAGCGGAGUCUGUAACCUGAAGCGUAUGUAACCUGAAGCAUAUGUAACCCGAGGUACCACUGUAUUUGAAAGGUAUACUAACCCCAUUCCACCCAAAUCAGCAAAAGUGCUGAUCUCCCCAUUCAAGUUGGGGACAAUAUCUAUUUUAAAUUGAUCCACAAGGAUCUAUGUAUUAAAGAGCAUGAUGACACAAAUUGUACCUCAAUUUUUUUGGAUGUCACCACACUGGCUGCCUUAAGCAAUUUGGUGAAAAUCAGGGGGCAAUACCUUUCUCUGCCCACCCUUUAGAAAAGAGACUCAAGCAACAGUAACUGCCUUUGUGGUAGGCUGGUUACAGCAUUCAUUACUGUGUGAUCAUGCGAGAGGUAAGGGGGUCACCAACAUUUUAGUUCCGUGGGCAUAUCUGGAUUUUUGAGCAAGUGCCAUAGGAAAACCCCUCUGGUUUCUGCUCACUCCAACCCCCGCAAGAGACAGAAAGAGAGAAAGUACAUGCACGUAUACAGAUUUCGCUUUUUCAAUGGACUAUGUAAAAAUCAGAUCCAGUUGAAUUGAUCUUAGCCCUGAAAAGCACAGUGAGCUGAAAGUGGAAGUGGGAAAGAGCAUCAGUCUUGAACUCCUUCCUUCUACUCAAGGGAGAAAAAAGUAAUACCUUUACCACCUCAUGCGGGGGGGGGGGGAGUAGUGGACCAGCGGGGGGCGGGGCUCAAAGCCUUCAUGGGCACCAGGAGAAGACCUCAAGGAUGGCAGGAUUAAAUAGCUCAGACAUAGAAACAAAAGGAGAGAUGGGCAAAACCAGCAGAGAUUAAACUAAUGUAACAGCAGCAUAGCCAACUGGUGUGCCUCAAUCACAUCUAAAGCAGGUGGUAGGAGUGCAAUUUAAAGUAUCUAUUUAAAGGGGUGCAUAGAUAGGAGCUGAAGCUUCUUCAUACCAUUGAUGCACCUAUUUUUUCUCCUGAGUGGAGAUGGAAAGUGGCCCACAUGCCACUUUAAAUUGCAGUGCAGGUGAUUAGGAAGAUGCUCAUUUGAAAACACAGCUCUCCCUUCAUUGCGUGUAAGUUGGUCCCAAGUCAACUAGAAAAGAGAAGGCAACAGGGAAAUGUGCCUCUCAUUCUGCUGAAAGCUCAGGGUCUCCUGUCACAAGUUAUCACAAGUUAUCUCCUCCCUACGAUUGAUGCACAACAGACUCUUUAAGACCCCAUGCUGAUUUAAACAGCCUUGUGCAUUUCAAAGACUGGUAUAGUUUUAACUAGAUUUUUUUUCUGAAGGAAAUAGAGCAAUAAAGCAUGUGAAGAUGUCAAAGACAGGUCUUGGGAUAAAGAAUAAGGGCACAACAAUAAUUGCAUUUAAAUGCUCCCUAAGAAAACAGUCAACAAUCUGUGCUGAGAUCCCCAAAUACAACUAAAAGAACUUCAGGAAGUAAUUUACCCUUAUUUCUGGAUCCAAGUGCUUUUUAAAAAGCUGUGAGUCUGUUCGUACCGUGACCUUAACAGUAAGGCUGGAAGAUCACUGUUAAUACUUUUGUGAAAGAAAUGUAAAGUUGUAAGCAGUGCACCUUGCAAACUGGUCUGAACUUGCUGAUGUCCAGGAGGGAAAAAGUUAAAGCCCAAAGGCCAACUAGCUACUGCAACUUGUAUAAUGUUUAGCAUUUGGGCAAUGAGGAGCAAAGUUUGAUCACACUUGGGUGCAGAGGGGAAAGGAGCAUCCAGCAAAGGCAGAGAAAAUGGAAGAUGAGGCAACCCACUUCUCUUGGGGUCAGUGCUGAGUACUUUGUAAUGUUGCUGUCAGAUGGUCGUCAUCGGUACGAACAGACUCACAGCUUUUGCGUCCAGCUUGUGCCAAGUGUGUGUUUCCUAUGUUUGGCUGAACUUUGCUCUGGCUUUCAAGUUUGUAAAAUAAAAUGGCCUUUGAAUCCUGUUGCAGCUUUAGGACAUUUUUAAACCAAAGGGCCUGACCUUAGCUUAGUACAUCCCUGCUGGCUUCCACAGGGAUACCCUGUGCCCCAGUUGGAGUACAGCCUGUUACUCAGAGGCUUGUGCGGUUCAUGUAUGCAAAGAAACAACAUAUCCUUUGACUUUCUGGCAUAGAACUUCCCAAACUAGAGUUAGCUUUUUGGCAUGUCCAGACAAUGUAUCUGUUGAUCUGUUAUCCUGAUCUGUUUUCAGGAAGAUUAAAUGAUGUCAGCUAUUUAAUGAGCAUUCACUCAGAUUUGUUCAUGUGGAGGCUACACAACAUCGCAUCAAAGCGGGUGCUAUCCUAAGCUUUCCACUGCAUUUUUCUAUCACUUCCUUAUCACAAAAAUCUGAUUUCUGGGGAGGUGGGUUUGUUGUGCAAGAGCUCUAAAUCAGCUUUAAUUGCGCAGUCUAAAUUUGUUAGUAGGCCACUGAAUCCCAUUGAAUCUGAAGGCAUUUUUGACUGAGUACAUAUUACCCUUUAUUCCAGCUCCAGUUCCUUCCUACCUGUGAUGAGAUGAUGAGCUGCUUGUGCAUAAAAUCGUAUCCCUUCAGAGUUUGUUCAAGUCCACAAACCUCUGUCUGUGACGGAGCCCCUCAGACAUGGCCUCUCUAGUCACUAGCAGAUUCCGACAGUGGUUGCUUUCGUAAUCGCUUCCAACAUAAAAGCUCCUUAACGGAAACACGUCUUCUGGACUCUCUGCGUGACAGUUUCCGGCGAGGAGUGGGUGUUCUUACAGGAGGUCCUGAAACCUCCCCACUGUUUUCGCUGGAAGUGUCUCUGAGCCAUCCCUCCAGCUCAGCUCCUCUCCCCCUGCUGGUUCCCUCUUCAGCUGCUGCGUCUCUCCCAACCUGUGUGAGCCCUUUCACCUCCCUGCUGGUUCCCUCUUCAGCUGCUGCGUCUCUCCCAACCUGUGUGAGCCCUUUCACCUCCCUGCUGGUUCCCUCUUCAGCUGCUGCGUCUCUCCCAACCUGUGUGAGCCCUUUCACCUCCCUUCCGUCCGAUGGCAGUUCCCUGACAUCCACCUCCCCUCCAGGGCCCCCUUCACCCCCUCUCGCCCCCUCCUCUACGGGCGGUGAGGAGGCAAAACCCGGAAUGAACUUCCUUCAUCUUCCGAUGUCUCGAACACUUCUCUCAACCUGUUGCGGUUCCUGGUCUCGAAGUACACCUCCUCCUCAGAGUCCAUCUCCCCUUCCCCUUCCGAGUCCGGGAAUCCUUCCAACUCCUCCCCUUCAUCAGUGGUCCCAAAGUAUUCCCUCCGGAACCUCUCCACAGGCUGAGGUUUCCUUGGGAACCUUUGAUGGAACGUUUCUAUCAAUACCUCGUCAUUGAUAUCUUCGGCCAUUACCCAAGUGUUUUCUGACUCCGGUUCUCCUUCCCACGCUACCAAAUACUCCACCUGAUCCCCCUUCCACCUGGCGUCGAGGAUUUCUGCCACAUGGCUGCUGCAUUCUCUUUCUUCUAUGACCGGUCCAGUGGCCAGCCCUUCUCGUCCCCCUUCGUACGGUGACAGUAACGACCUGUGAAAUACUGGGUGCAGUUUCAUGUGGUUGGGUAACCGGAGCCUGAAAGCCACUGGGUUGACCUGUUGAAUGACCUCAAAGGGACCCAACCUCCUGGGUCUUAAUUUCUUACAACCUCCUUUGAACGGCAGCCCUUGGGUUGACAGCCACACCCUAUCUCCCACCCUUAUGGUUUCACCUUCCCUUCGGUUCUUGUCUGCCUGCCUCUUGUAUUCUUCCUUCGCCCUUUCUAAGUUGAGUUGGAGCUGACGAUGGAUUGCUUCCAUUUCUUCCACAAAAUGCUCGGCUGCCGGGACGCUCCAUCUCUCCCCAUCUCCCCCUGGGAAAGCCCUGGGAUGACACCCAUAAUUAGCCAAGAAGGGGCUCAUCCCUGUGGACACAUUCUCGGCAUUGUUGUAGGCAAAUUCCGCCAGCGCCAACUUUUCUACCCAGUCAUUCUCUCUGUCAUUGACAUAACACCUCAGGUAUUGCUGGAGGACACCGUUUGCUCUUUCCGCCUGCCCGUUGGUUUCAGGGUGCCGGGCAGUCGAAAAAUUGACCUCCACCUGCAGUAAGCUCAUGAGCUUCCUCCAGAACCUGGAAGUAAAUUGUUUUCCUCGGUCUGAGACCACCCUCAAUGGCACCCCGUGCAACCUAAAAAUGUGUUCUACAAAUAACUCGCUGUCUCUUCCGCCGUGACUGCAUGCGAGCAAGCUACAAAGUGGCACAUCUUUGUUAGUAGGUCUACCACCACCAUGAUGGCUGUUUUCCCUUUGGACUUCGGCAGAUCAGUCAUAAAAUCUAUCGACACUGCCUCCCAAGGUCGUUCUGGGGUUGGUAAGGGUUCUAAUAGCCCCGCCGGCGCCCGCCUUUCCCCUUUGGCUCUCUGGCAUUGCUUGCACCCUCUUACAUACUCACGUACAUCUUCCCUCACCUUAGGCCACCAAAAUUCCCUGGUGACCAACCACAUGGUUUUGUGUUGUCCAAAAUGCCCCGCCGUAGGGCUGUCGUGCAACUGCUUGAGUACCCUCCCCUUAACUCUCCUUCAGGGAUAUACAGUGCCCCUUUGUAAUACAAAGCUCCAUUUCUUUCCUCGAAACCCCCUGGUUCCUCUCCCUCACUCCUAAGACCUCUGAGCUUAUUCUGGGCGUAUUCAUCAUUCUCUGUUUCCUCUACCAGUUCUCUUUGUCCCACCAAUGCCGCCCCACACACCCAGCGGUCCUCUGGAAUGACAUGUCUCUCUUCGGGUGCCCCCUCUCCCUCCAAAUAUUCUGGUUUGCGUGAGAGAGCGUCCGCCCUAAUGUUCUCUGGGCCUGGCACGUAAUUAAUCUCAAAAUUAAAUUUGGAGAACUCCUGGGCCCAUCUCACUUGCCGUUGGUUGAGCACUCGUGCCGUCCUCCAAUACUCUAAGUUCUUGUGGUCAGUGCACACUUGCACCUUAUGUUGUGCGCCAAUUAGCAGGUGCCUCCAUCUCCGGAACGCCUCAUGAAUGGCUAGUAGUUCUCGGUCAUACACCGUGUAGUUCCUCUCGGAUUUGUUCAGCUUUCGCGAAAAAAAAGCACACGGUCUCCACUCUGACCCCUUCUUCCCUGGCUGCAGAAGCACCGCCCCAAUCGCUCUGUCUGAUGCGUCAGUUUCCACUCUCAUCGGUUUUUGUAAAUCCACAUGCAGGAGUUGUUGUUCCGAGGCGAAGGCCCUUUUUAGCUCCUCAAAUGCUCGCUCCGCCUCCUCAGUCCACACGAACUUCUUCUUACUGCUGAGACAGUCCGUAAUGGGCGCCGUCAGGUGGGCAAAGUUUCGGAUGAACUUACGAUAGAAGUUCCCAAAUCCUAGGAACCUCUGCACAUCCUUCUUUGUUUUGGGUGUUUUCCAUUCCAGCACCGCCUGGACCUUGCCGGGAUCCAUGGCCAAUCCCUUGUCAGACAGGCGAUACCCCAGGAAUUCCACCUCCUUGGUAUGAAACUGACACUUCUCCAGUUUCACCCACAGCUGGUUGGCUUGCAGCCUGCUCAACACUUCUCUGACGUCUCUCACAUGCUGCUCCUCAUUCUCAGAAUACACCAACACGUCGUCUAAAAGGGCCACACAAUUCUUGUAAAGCAAAGGCCCCAGGACGUGGUUCAUAAACGAUUGAAAUGUUGCGGAGCCUGCUUGUAGGCCGAAGGGCAUAACCAAAUAUUCAAAUGCCCCUAAAGGGGUGAACAUAGUGGUUUUCCAUUCAUCCCCCUUCCUUAUUCGUACCAGGUUGUACGCCCCCCUUAGGUCCAGCUUUGUGAAAAUCUUUCCCUUCCGCACCCUUGUCAAAAUGUCGUCAAUCCUGGGCAUAGGGAAGGCUACUGGUUCUGACACUGCAUUUAAGGCCCUGAAGUCACACACCAGCCUCGGCUUGUUCGUGUUUUUCUUAUCCACAAAAAACACUGGGCUGCCCCCUACCGCCCUGGACUCUCUGAUGAACCCUCUCUUCAGGUUCUUGUCAAUGAACUCUCUUAACUCCUGCAUCUCUCUGUCUGACAUGGCGUACAGCUUGCCUACAGGGAGCUGUGCUCCAGGAGUAAAUUGAUUUGACAGUCAAAGGGUCUAUGCGGGGUAGUUGGUCAGCUUCCCUUUCGCUGAAGACGUCACGGAGAUCUGCAUAUUGUCGUGGUACCUUCACGUUCUCUGUUACUUCAGUCCCUGCUAGGGUGGCUUGGACCCCUGCCAAACCCUUUCCCUCUUUGCAGUGUUCUAAGCAAUGUGCUGAACCAAAAGAAACCACUCUCUGAUGCCAGCCCACCAGCGGAUCAUGUAACGCUAGCCAGCUCAUCCCCAAUAUAAUGGGAGCUCCUCCCAAGGUGGCCACAUUAAAAGCUAUCAGUUCGGUGUGCCUUGCUACCUUCAUUAUCAUUGGGACGGUCUGCAAGCUGACUUCUCCUCCCAACAACUCCCUGCCAUCGAUCGUGGUCACCUGCAGGGGCUGCUUAAAGGGAUCGUCUGUAUCUGGUGUUCAGCUGCAAACUCUUUGCUCAUGAAAUUGCAGGAGCUGCCUGAGUCCAACAGCGCCUUUAUCUUUAGAGGGUGUCCGUUUGGCAGCUCUAGCGUCACUUCUAUCACUAGGGCGGGUUUAGGAGGUUCUGGCGUGGGCACUCUCACUGCUCUUUGGCCUGGCUGCUGUGCCCCGACAAUGGCAGCCAGGCGUUGGCUUUUACUUGCUCCGGUAUAUCUUCCUCUCUUCCAUCCACAGCUCCUACCAUCCCUUGCCAUUCUUUCCUCUGGGGGCAGACUCUGGCAAAGUGACCUGGCUGUUGGCAGAGAUAGCAUUUCCGGGCGCCUUUUCCCUCCUUUUUUCCCCCCUCACUGGGCUUUGAAACUGCGCGCGCGCGCGCUGUUCCGAUUUCCAUCGGCUCUGCCGGUGGGAAAGUUGGCUCUGGAAUGUCUGGAAUGCGGAACUCCUUCCAACGUUCCCCUUUCCCUUCCCGCCUCUCCAAUGCUCUCGCCUCCUGGCGCGCUCCUAUGGCUAGCGCUGAUUUGGUCAGCUGGUCCAUAGACUCCACCCUGGGCGCCCGGGAAAGUUCGUCUUUCACAGCCGAAGAAAGCCCUUCUUCAAAGAGCAUUUGAAUGGGUUCCGCCGAUAAGUCCCACCCCAAUCUGUGAACAAGCAUGGUGAACUCAGUCCAGUACUCACGGACAGAUCGGCUCCCCUGUUUGCAAGCCAUUAACUGUCUGCGCACCACUCCCUUUUCAAUAUCGCUGGAAAACAUCAGAUCCAUGGCGCGAAAGAACUUCAUUGUGUCCUUUAGGACGUCACUAUUCGCUGCCAUCAGGGGUCUAACCCAGUCUCUCGCCCCCUUUUCAAGAUGCUCAAUCACGAAAGCCACUCGUGAUUCCUCGUCAGGGAAUUCAUCAAACUGCAGAUUGAGGGCAUAUUGCAUUUCUGUCCGAAAGCCAUGAUAGUUUUGGGCUCCCCCAAACUUCUGCACCAAUCCCGGUACCGUCCUGGCCACCUGGGUGGCUUUCCCCUUUUGUCUGCAUCCUGCGCCCUCCUCUCCUCAAGCCUCGCCGUCUGCAUCGCUAGCUGGACCUCCAACACCCGGUACCUUUCUUCCAGGCUUGGACCCACUCCAGCUCCUGCUUCUCCGGUUCCGGCUGGGUUGCUCAUGAUGCCUUCUCCUGCACAAGCUGCUUUCAAAGACUGUCGGAAUGCUGUGAUGAGAUGAUGAGCUGCUUGUGCGUAAAAUCGUAUCCCUUCAGAGUUUGUUCAAGUCCACAAACCUCUGUCUGUGACGGAGCCCCUCAGACAUGGCCCCUCUAGUCACUAGCAGAUUCCGACAGUGGUUGCUUUCGUAAUCGCUUCCAACAUAAAAGCUCCUUAACGGAAACACGUCUUCUGGACUCUCUGCGUGACAGUUUCCGGCGAGGAGUGGGUGUUCUUACAGGAGGUCCUGAAACCUCCCCACUGUUUUCGCUGGAAGUGUCUCUGAGCCAUCCCUCCAGCUCAGCUCCUCUCCCCCUGCUGGUUCCCUCUUCAGCUGCUGCGUCUCUCCCAACCUGUGUGAGCCCUUUCACCUCCCUGCUGGUUCCCUCUUCAGCUGCUGCGUCUCUCCCAACCUGUGUGAGCCCUUUCACCUCCCUGCUGGUUCCCUCUUCAGCUGCUGCGUCUCUCCCAACCUGUGUGAGCCCUUUCACCUCCCUUCCGUCCGAUGGCAGUUCCCUGACACUACCUUUUACAGUACAGUCGUACCUUGGAUUCCAAAUGCCUUGCCAGUCAAAGGUGGUGAUUCCCAAACGCUGCAAACCCGGAAGUGAGUGUUGCAGUUUGCAAAUGUUCUUUGGAACCCAAAUGUCCGACGCAACUUCCACAGCUUCCAAUUGGCUGCAGGAGCACGGGAGGCCAUUGGGGAGAGAAGUAGCAGAAAUCCUGUUGCACAAGCAAAAGGCUUUGCACUAAUAGGAUGAUGUUGUUGUAUAUAACCCAUGAAUUCUGCUGGUUUUUAGAGGGGAAAAAUGGUGGUGGUACAUAUGUUUAAAUAUGAUAAAAUGGGUGUGUGUGUGUGUGUGUGUGUGUGUGUGUGUGAUGACCCUUGGUCAAUCCUUUGGUUGUUAUAUGUGUCUAAGAGGUGUUAUUUGGCAUUGUUACUUCAAUUACAUAUUUAUAUAUUGUUUCAAAGAGUGAUGCACGAUUUUUGAAUUAUUUCACCUUUAUCUGUAGAUUUUGAGACUGCAGUUCUCAUUUUCAUUCAGUCAGGAUUGUGGGUUAUAUUUGUUUACACAAAGUAGAUACACUGAAAUUUAUGGCCAUGACUACCUUAGGUCCAUUAAUUUCAAUGGGUCUACUCUGCGUAAAGGUUAGCUGCUUGUGUUUCUGCUUUGUGGUUCCUUGAGGGGAGCCUUUUGAUCUUGGUUUUCUGAAAUUUACUUCAGCACUUGACCUGCACACUGGGCUAAAUGUUAAAUUGUACCUAAUUUCUUGUAAAAUCCAAUAUGGGAAGAUAAUUAUUUUUUCUUUAUUUCAUACUCCCUGAGAGGCAUAUUUCCCAAAAAAGAUAACUACAUUGCUCAAAUUAUUCUGUUUGCCAACCACUAUUAAUCUCUUUCACCAAACAACUCUUAUUUAAGUUUGAAGAGCUGGAAGCAUACUAAAUCUCUUGUUGUAAUUAAUAACAGCAUAAGCACAACUUAUGCAAGUUUUGUACAUGUAGCCAAUUUCAUUUUAGAAGAUAUUCUUCUAAAGAUGCUCAUCCUUUCUCACAGCUUCAGGGCACACAGCUGUGCUAGAAUGGCUCAGAGAUUAAGAUCUAGAACUCACUGGAUACACUGCGCACAAUCCCAUCAAUUUGAUAAUAGUUUCUUCCUGAGCAAUACUUGGCUACUUACACAACACUUGCCCUCUCUGUGCAUUGCAGGUCACUUUUCCCAUGGGGCCUCCACAAACUGUACACCUUAUACGUUUUGUGAUGUACAGAUCUCAUGGUUGAAGCCUAUACACAUUUGCAAUGUAUAUUUGGGGCUCUAUGUAAAUGUGAUGUUUUAACAUGUGGACAUUGUGGGGUGGAGUGGCUAUCCCAGCAGAGAGCUGCCACAGAAGUUCUGGGGGAGUUUGUUUUGUCCCUAAGGAGCCCUGACGAUUAGGUCCAGUCGUGACCGACUCUGAGGUUGCGGUGCUCAUCUUGCUCUAUGGGCCAAGGGAGCCGGCGUACAGCUUCCGGGUCAUGUGGCCAGCAUGACUAAGCCGCUUCUGGCGAACCAGAGCAGCGCACGGAAACGCCAUUUACCUUCCUGCCAGAGUGGUACCUAUUUAUCUACUUGCACUUUGAUGUGCUUUCGAACUGCUAGGUGGGCAGGAGCAGUGACCGAGCAACGGGAGCUCACCCCGUCAUGGGGAUUCGAACCGCCGACCUUCUGAUCGGCAAGUCCUAGGCUCUGUGGUUUAACCCACAGCGCCACCCGCGUCCCAAGUUGUUUUGUCCCUAGGGUUUGACAAAUAUGCCUAGAUGCCAGACCACAAGAGAUGUAGCCUGUUACAAAAUGGUCUGGGCUGAGGUAGGAUGAAGACUGCCCCAGACUGCAACUUGCUUUGGUCUGAUUCAUAGCAGGAUAUGGGUUAGUGGAGCCAGAAAUUUUAAGUGGGCAGAGUGAAGCUCUGCAAAGCAUGCUCAGAAGGCUUCUAAUUUGGAGCUGCCAGUGCAUGAGGUUGGCUGGUUUUCUUUUUUGUGUACCUCUUGGUUCAGCUCAGAAUUGAGAAAAGCAUUUUAAAUCCUUUGCCCUAGAGGAGGUGACUUACCAAGGUGUGCUGGCUUGGUUACUGCAUUUUUAUGUAAAUCUUCCUGCAGGCAGCUGCUUCUGCUGUCCUGGGGUCUGCUGGGACAUAACAAGAACCAAAGAAGAGCCCUGUUGAAUCAGACUAGAGGACAAUCCAGUGCAGCAUCCUUUCUCCCACCAUGGCUCAACAGGUGCCUAUGGGAACCCACAAGCAGGACAUGAGCAAAGUAGCACCUCUGGCUGUUGUUUUCCGUGUGUGGCAAGAAACAAUAGUGACUUAUCUCAAAGAGCUUAGAUUUCGGCUAUCUCCAGGAUCAGAGGCAGCUUGUCUCCGAAUACCAGCUGAUGAAGGAGAUCUCAAAGGAGUUGUGCCACACAGGGGCAGGAGGAUAAGACUUACAGCAAGGUUUAAAUAUGUGUUCUAUUGUAAACACACACACCACAAAACCUGUGCCUUUUAAAAGCAUGUGCUGUGCCUACUUAUUAUUUCGCUGAUAGCAACUAUAGCAAUAGAAUCAAUACAAGUCAAAGCAGUUCAUCAGCAAAUACACACUGAAAGGGAGUGGAGAAAAAUCUACCCCUCUUACCACCUUGAUUGUGAUUUGACUGGGUGUUCAAUGAAGUUGUGAGAUAAUUAAGCUACGUUAAGCGGUCUUGAACGUGCACACUAGUGUUUCUUUACUUUUUUAUUACAUUUAUAUCUCACCUUUCCUCCAAGGCUGCUCAAGGUGGCAUACACAGUUCUCCCCCUGCACAUGUUAUCCUCAUAAUAGCCCUGUAAGGUAGUUUAGGCUGAGAGACAGUGCCUGGCCCAAAGUGAGCUUCAUGGCUGAGUAGGGAUUUGAACCCCGGUUUCCCCAGUUCUAGCCCAGUGUUCUUAACAACUGCACUGCCACCGGCUGAAUCAAAACAUGCUUGAUAAAAGCUGUUCUAGUUUUUUGCAGCAAGUAACCACUAUUUUACAGAGACGUUGCUGUGUCGCAGUUUUCCAGAUUCACUUUGUGUGUGGUGUUUGCUACAGGUGUUGGGGGUCGAUUUUAUCGGGGGGGAAGGGAGACAGCAGUCCCCUCCCUGUCAAGCAAGAGAAGCUUUGCAGGCAUUGCAAAUGAGCUGACAUUCUUCUACCAAUUCACUUUGACUUGUUAGCAGGUGCAACGGUGAGGAAUGGACAAAUCACUUUGCUGAAGUGGGAAAUGGAACAGCAGUACACCAUUUAAUCCCAGCUGUGGUGAAGGCAAGCUUUGUCAGCAUCUCCUGCAUAAAGCUCUAAGGUGGGAAUCAAAUCCAAGACCAAGUGGCAACUUUCUCUCUCAUGAGCAAGAACCUAGGUAAAGGUAAAGGGACCCCUGACCAUUAGGUCCAGUCGUGGCUGACUCUGGGGUUGCGGCGCUCAUCUCGCUUUAUUGGCCGAGGGAGCCAGCAUACAUCUUUCCGGGUCAUGUGGCCAGCAUGACUAAGCCACUUCUGGCGAACCAGAGCAGUGCACGGAAACACCGUUUACCUUCCCUCUGGAGCAGUACCUAUUUAUCUACUUGCACUUUGACGUGAUUUCAAACUGCUAGGUUGGCAGGAGCAGGGACCGAGCAAUGGGAGCUCACCCCGUCGCGGGGAUUCAAACCGCCAACCUUCUGAUCGGCAAGUCCUAGACUCUGUGGUUUAACCCACAGCGCCACCCGCGUCCCAAGACCUAGCAAGAACCUAGGUGCACUGAAUGAGCCCUGGCAGAGCAGCGGUGGGCUUUGGUGUCUCAAAUUUCAACGGUGCCCUGUGGAACACCAAAAUUUGGUGCCCCCACCUCUCGCCUUCCAUUUCUCAUUACAGUUGUGAGGCCCCUGAGGCCCCGUGCGCAGUGCAGCUGAACUGGUCACGCUCCCCUAAAUCUGCCUCUGGACAGAGGAUCCUCAGUGAUCCGUAGCAGAUUGUAGAUGGCUGCAGUUUCAGUGCCCUAUCAUGCCAACAUGAUUUGAGAAGAAGGUGGUUCAGAAAGAGCUGCUGCUUUGCCUUUAGGCUUUCUGAAGCUUUAAGAAGCAUCUAUGCCUUUUCUAAUUCCAGUGCUCAGAUUAAUGUCCUCAUCCUCAGGCCCUUGCACACAGCGGUAGGCUGUCUGUACAGAAGAGCACGCAAAGAUCUCUGGGUUCUUACGCGUGGUACAAAUUCAUGCUGGGUUGGGUAGGCCCAGGAGGUACAGCCCAUUUUGAAAGUUCAAAAAGUCUCAGAAACCUGAUUGUUUUCAGAACCUCUCCAGGUCAUCAAGACCGCCAGGUUAAACCCUGUUGCUUAGCCUUCUAGUGCCAUCUACUGGUGAUGCCUAGAGAAAUCAAAGAAGUUCAUGUCAGCAACUGCCAUACACUCUCAAGGCCACUUUGCAUGCUAUAUUUUUAUGACUAAUACCACAUUGCAAAAUAUUGCAAUGGAAGGUUUGAUACACGCUGCUACUCAACAACAACAUUAUGGGAGGUGGUUCAGCUGUGGCCAUGUCUGUCUCACAGAGUACAACACACUUUUUUGUGUGUAUUUCAUUCAUAUAUCACACUUAUCUUCCAAUGAAUAUAACUAGUCACAAUAGUCCUGUAUCAGGAAAAUGUGGUGUUGGGAGGAACAUUCAAAUAAAUGCUUCAGGAGCAAAGCUUUCUGUUAUCCAGAAUGUGUGUAAUUCUGAAAUGUCCCAUGAACUGUAAGGGCUGGUUCACAUAACACAUUUUCCAGAUACAGUACAGACUUUCCCCUAGAAAAAUAACCUUCCUUAUGCAUUCAGUGAGAAACUGCAGCUACAUGUUGCAGUCUGUAGUUCUGAGUUCAAGAUUCCAGCCAUUCUGUUCUUCUAGGCUUGCUAUACGUCAGGAAAAUUCCUGACGUCCUGGUUUUUGGGUGUAAAAAUGGGGUCAGGGGAAUUUUGCCAAAUUUUUGUCAGGAAUUUUACUUUUGAAAUAUGGCAACCCUAGUAUCUUCCCUUACAACAGGCUGCAUUGAGUAUAAUCAGUACUCACUGAACUAUUUUAGAAGGCCCAACUUCCAAAGAGGAUUUUUAAAAUAAAUGCUUUUUGUACUUCUGCAAAACCUUCCGUUUUCCCCAAGCCUGUUGAUACUUCAACCUUGUUUAUAGGUCAUGCUGUUUGAUCUACAUUCUCAAUGGCAAUCACAGCCUAAAGGAAAUGCAAAUCUCCAUAUCCGAUUUUGCAAGCCAUGAGUUGGUUGGGAAGUGAUUCAUGUGCCCCUGUCUCAAUAAAAUCUGGGGAGAUGUCAUUGGAGUACAUGUGCAUUCUGUACGUGGCCUCCUUUGUAAUGUUUUGCUUUAAAAUCUUUAAGAUAAUAUUUUAGUUUCCUGUUAGUUAUGCUGCUUUGAAUAUAUCCUUUAUAUUUGACUUUCUUCUUUAAUGUUUUAUUCUAGAUUGUUUUAGAAUAAUAUUUGCAAGGACCCCAAGGAUCAUCUAGUCCAACUCCCGGAAAUACAAGAAUUCUGCCCUCUGUUUAAUGUUGUACUGUAAUGUAGCUUAGGAAACUGCUUUGAGAUUUUUUUCUUAAAAAUAUAAAGCAGUAUAGAAAUGUAAUAAACAAACAAACAAUUUAUCAGAAAAGCUGGUAUACUAGUAAGACACAAGGCGUUAAUCAAUAUGAAGCAUCUCUUCUGAAUCUUUAGUAUCUUAUGACUUGGUCGCUGUAUGAACCCAGACUAUAAAUGACAAAGCAUUCUUCCCCCUCUCGUCUUAGAUCAAAGGAAAAAAAUAUUUCAUAACACCAGCUAUUCCAAGUGUUCUGUUGUGCAGAAUGGACCAAAACAAGGAAGACAGACAACAGGCUCAUACAAACAACUGUGACUUCAAGGUUCCAGAGCUAAAGAGCACAGGUGCAGACAGCAUGCAAAUCUGAAGGAUGUUAUCAGCUUCCUGUCAGUCAGAAAGUAACUCAUUUACCAGAGAAAGAACAUGUCCAGAGUCACAGGAAAAAGAUCUUCUAGCAGGUAUAGAUGAUAUACUGUUAAGACCUGCCGAUUUAUGACUGGGUUUGUGUUCAUAUUAGCAAACAGCUUUGCUGGGGCUGGACUAUGAAGCUUCAUUUUCUCUCAUGCCUUGCUACGGUGAUAGUAUGCAACAUCAAAAGACAGGCCUUCCAAAUAAUCCAAGUCAUUAUUGCCUUAAUAUCAUGAAAGGCUUCGUGUUUUCUUUAAUGGUAAAAGUGUUUGAGGCUUUCAGUAUGGGAGGUAUAUGGAUAUACAGGGAAUCAAACAAGCUGAAAUCCUAAUAGGCACACUUAAUUGGAAGCUAAAUAUGCAGAGGACCAAGUUUUGCAUGGUUUUAAGUAACAGAGGCAGUUGAGUUCAGCAGCAAUAUAGGUGCACUUGCUCAAGUCCUGCGGCUCCUGGGUAGCAGCCAGUUAUUGGCACCAGGAAUAAAACCAGGCUCCACCAGGCCUUGAAAUAGCCAUGGGCUGCACCACAGCCUACAAUGCUCCCCCAGUUAUUUGAGGACAGUAGAUAUGUUUCUCAUCAUUACAAUUUCCCACCAUCAAUAAAACAUUACAAUGAAAACUAAACAUCGAUUUCCCUCACCCCCUUCCAUGGUUUCCUUGUCCCGGGUUCAUUCUCCAGCAUCUCCAAAAAUGGGAUUGGAGCUGCUCUGUAGGCCUGUAUGUGUAUAUAGAUAGCUUGAUGAUCCAGGUUUUUAAAAAGCAGCUGCCGGGGGAUCAGAAUCAGUUCCAGUAUAGUGGUACCUCGGGUUACAUACGCUUCAGGUUACAGACUCCGCUAACCCAGAAAUAGUGCUUCAGGUUAAGAACUUUGCUUCAGGGUGAGAACAGAAAUCGUGCAGCGGCAGCAGGAGGCCCCCUUAGCUAAAGUGGUGCUUCAGGUUAAGAACAGUUUCAGGUUAAGAGCGGACCUCCGGAACGAAUUAAGUACUUAAUCCAAGGUACCACUGUAUGCAGAAGGUUAACCCUUUGCUCUCAUACUGUAGUCCUAAUGAACUUGCACCUCCCCCAGCUGCUUUUUAUCCAGGAAGAAAGAUUCCCAUUGGAUCAAUCUGGGGGCAAAUAACAGGUGGGGGCAGGACAUCAGCAUGGGAGGAAAUAGUUUUAAAACCCUCUCCAUACAGCACAGUCACAAUCCUGAACACUACAACCAGCCCACAGAUGGUUGCUAUUAAAAAACAACAGC
rnacentral:lncRNA from 1 species